rnacentral:lncRNA from 1 species
GGCAGAGAACAUGGUGGCAGUCAGGCAGACAUGGUGGUGGAGAAAGAGCCCAGAGUUGUACAUUCGGAUCCACAGGAAGCAGGAAGAGAGACAUUGGGCCUGGUUUGGGUAUUUGAAACCUCAAAUCACACCUCCAAUGAGACACUUCCACCAACAAAGCUACAUCUACUCCAACAGGGACACGUCUCCUAAUCCCUGUGGAGAUGCCGACACCCACACCAGGAUUAUCAGACUGUUUUGUUGUACACAGAUGUCCUCUCAUAUGGUUAAAUGCUUAAUUUAUUUCCUUGACACCUACUCUGACUGGGAUUCACAAGGAACAAGGACUUAUUUUUCCAAUGUCCAGCGUCUGCCUAGUACAUGGAAGGAACUCAGUCAACACUGGUGAGGCUAUGGCUCACACAAGUUCAUGUCCUAGAAUGUUAAUUAUGUGUUGUGUAAGAAUAAAAUGGGAUGAUGUUUUCCUUAAAAGCAGCUGGAGUUGUUCGUCAGCAGAAUGGCUCAAUCCAGUACAUGGCAGAAAACAAGUGGAGAGUUGCCAUUGACAGACUGCAUCAUCAAUGGUGAAAACCAAGGAAGUACAGACAUCUGAGGCCUGUCAUGAUCAGAGCCUUUCCAUAAUCAAUGGGACACCAAAGCUCUCAUUGCUGUAGCAGGAAACCCUUGCUUCUCCAACUGUUUUGCAUGUAUCCAUUUUGGAGCUGUUGAAGCUGAUAUUCUCCAUCCUAAGCACAAAGUGAACACACUGGGGCAUCUUAGGGCAGUAGGUUCAUUGUUAACUCCCAUGGGAUCCAAUCCACAAUGUCCAAAUGUGUCCUGAGAUAUUUCCAGAAACUCUUCUCUUUCAGUCAUGCACUCAGUGUAAGGAGACAUAAGAAGUUUGGGGAGAGCAUACUGGUCUUUGGUUCCUCUAAUGUUUUCUAGGAACUCGACUCUGGUUUCAGCAUAUGGCCCUUUUUGUUCUAAAAUCCCCUGAGUGACCCAAGAGCCUGACUAUUAAUGUGCAUCUUUAAGUUUGAAAGGUGACAGUUCUAAACUAAGGAAAAAAAUUAAAAAAAUGGGACAGCAUUGGGCUGUUUCCACAUAGCCUCUGUCAUCCUCAGUCUUGCAGAAGCAGUUAUUCAUCUCUCUUAACCCUCCUUGCAGUCCAGUGGUCCAUGUCCCCAUCUUUGACUUGCCUGUUGGACUACUGUAGGCAGAGGAGGUAGAAGUCUAUGCAUUCAGUCUCUGGCUACAAAUCUCCUUUCCAGUUCAUCACAUAGCACUUGUGUCCCAUAUGUGCACACUGAAAAUGAGAUGGAUGAUUGAUCAUUGUGCUUCUCAGCAAGCAUGGUAGGAAGUGUUUUUCUUCCAUCUAAGGAGUGGUGAAGAUAAAGAUGAACCUACAGUUGGCAGUGGUGUGGGAGGCGGAUGAAUUUCCUCACUGUUGAAGGCUGUGAUCAGAUGGAAUUGGCUCAGUGCUUUGGGAGGGUGAUGUCAAUGUGUGAACUGAAGUUCUCAGAAAAAAGAGAAGAAAGAGAGAAAGAGGGGGAGGGAGGAAGAAAGAAAAAGUCCAUCACCAACUCCAUGCUAAUGAUUCUACAAGGCCAAAUGACCAACCUUUGUGAUUUUGUAGUGUUAAAAUAUAGGGAUCAAAUUAUCUUGGGCUUUUUUUGGGUUCCAAUGAAAGCCAUUCAUUACCCACUCCCUGUCUGAUUAUCAAAAUCCUGAAGAUGUCAUCUGCACAAAUCACUAGCUUCCAUAAAACUAGAGGCUAAGGCUGUCACAAGAUAGUUUUGCAAUGUAUAGACAAGUUCUCUGUGUUUUUCUGAAACUUGCCUACCUCUUCCCACUUUUGGUAACUGCCUUCACAAAUGACAUUGUUAUGUAACCAGCAAAUGCUACAAGCCACAAGAUCACACAGGAAUUAUACAGCCUUUGCAUCACAAGAUAGCUCAGAAGAAUUAAGGAUUCUUCUGAUGGAUGAAACCAGAACAGAAGCUGUACCUGGCAUUACAAUCUUGUGAAUGAAUUGGCUGUGUCUUGUUAGAUUCUUCCUGUAGGUUAUUCUUAUCUGUCACAAACUUGCGGCUUACUUCUCAGUUUAGCACCAUCUGAUUAUUUACUGAAAACAAAUUUCUCCCAUGAAUUUGGAGUUUUACUGAUUACACUACCUAGCUAUGUGUAAAUACCUGUUCUCCAUUAACAGGUCCUAGUUUACUGAUUAUAUUCCUUAGCUAUGUGUGAUGCCUGUUUCCCACUAUCAGGUUCUUGUUCCCCUCUCCAUUGCAAUUGCAGAAAACUGCCUUUCUGCAAUUAUCUGUAUUGACAGGCAUUUGGUCAGUGUUUAGGGCUCAGGCAAAAGCAUCCCAUCUAAGACAACCCAAAUAUCCAAGGAUACUUAUAUUUUUGGUUGUGAGCCUAGCCUUUAAUGGCUGAGCCAUCUUUCCAGCCCAAUAAGAGAUACUAUAGUAGAGGGAGACAUUAUAGGUUUAAAGAGAAAUCAGGCACUAGGGAAAUGUCUGGAGAGCUACAAAGAUGACACCAACUAACAAUCUAAGCAACAGAGGAGAGGCUACCUUAAAUGCCCUCCCCUGAUAAUGAGACUGAUGACUAACUUAUAUGCCAUCCUAUAGCCUUCAUCUAGCAGCUGGUGGAAGUAGAAGCAGACCCCCACAGCUAAACCUUGAACUGAACUGAAAUCCAGUUGCAGAGAAGGAAGACUGAUGAGCAAAGGGGUCAAGACCAGGCUGGUGAAACCCACAGAAACAGCUGACCUGAACAAGGGAGAGCUCUUGGUUCCAAGACUGAUAGCUGGGAAACCAACAUGGGACUGAUUCAGACCCUCUGAAUGUGGGUGUCAGUGAGGAGACCUCAGAAAUCUAUGGGGCCCUUUGUAGUGGAUCAGUACUUAUCCUUAGCAUAGGAAUGGACUUUGGGAGCCCAUCCCACAUGGAGGGAUACUCCCUGAGCCUAGAC